rnacentral:rRNA from 1 species
GAUGAACGCUAGCGGCAGGCUUAAUACAUGCAAGUCGAGGGGCAGCAUGAAGUAGCAAUACUUUGAUGGCGACCGGCAAACGGGUGCGGAACACGUACACAACCUCCCUUUAAGUGGGGAAUAGCCCAGAGAAAUUUGGAUUAAUACCCCGUAACACAACAAAGUGGCAUCACUUUGUUGUUAUAGUUUCGACGCUUAAUGAUGGGUGUGCGUAUGAUUAGAUAGUUGGCGAGGUAACGGGUCACCAAGUCUACGAUCAUUAGCUGAUGUGAGAGCAUGAUCAGCCACACGGGCACUGAGACACGGGCCCGACUCCUACGGGAGGCAGCAGUAAGGAAUAUUGGUCAAUGGACGCAAGUCUGAACCAGCCAUGCCGCGUGAAGGAUUAAGGUCCUCUGGAUUGUAAACUUCUUUUAUAUGGGACCAAAAAAGGUCUUUCUAGACCCCUUGACGGUACCAUAUGAAUAAGCACCGGCUAACUCCGUGCCAGCAGCCGCCGUAACAC